AGGCCUUAUCAUCUCCUGGGAGGAUCCUGUACUGUUUGGAAGGUUAUUGUAUGGGUAGAGUUCUAAAGGGCUGUAGCUAUUUCAUGGGAAGUAGAGUAAGUAAGCCCAGCUAUUUUUAAGUCUGGAGAAGAGAAAUGAACAUGGCAGAAACUUGCACCUUUCUCCUCAGGGUCAGACUUAUCUGGUGAAAGAAAAAAAGCUAAAGGUGGCUUCUGAAUUCUGAGAUCUCAUUGUCUAGUGCACAGGGAACUGAUACCCAGAAAGGCGAGUGACACGCUGUGGAUUCCAUACCUGCUCAGCUGUGGGACUGAGAUAAGGACCAUUUAUUCAACUCUUCAAGCCAAUGGCUCUCUACCUAUCUCUACUCUUCCAUUUGGCCAUCUGGAAGUAUAAAGAAAGGACGUUCUACUGAGUGCAAGGAGCUAGAUGGCCCUGCCUGGAGCAAGCCACUGUUUAUCCUGGUGUUUGUGGCCUAACAUCCAGUGGAGACAAUACUCGUCCACAGACUGUUGAGGUUAGAGCAAAAUGAGUAACAGGCAUAGCUAUUGUAAUUGUGGGUUCUGGUGUUCAAUAAGCUAAGCAGACUCUCUCUUCUUCUACUUCUGUCUUUUCAGCUCUUCUACUUCUCUAUGAUUUCCAAGUCAAUUCUCAGAUCUAUAAGCCUGAGAAGUUUCUAUCCGAGACUUUAACAAUAUUGGUUGAGGCUUGAAUACUGCUGGCUUUAAUUUUGGCUCCUUAAUAAAGACCUUUCUUAGCAGGUACCCUAAUCGGUUUGGAAGCUUGAAAGUGUGCUAUUAUAGAGGUGUGGGGAAAUAGGCCUUCUUACUGAUUGUUGGUGGAAGUGCAUAAAGGCACAGCCUCUAUGGAGAGAAUUCAGUAAUAUUAUGUAUCCAUACCUUGUAGCUGAAUGAUUCCACUUCUAGGAUAAGGGGAAGCCAGCAAAAUAUGAACACAACAGCCUAUUCAUGUGGCAUUAAUUACAGUAGAAAAAGACUGGCAAAAACCCAAAUGUUCAUCACGAGGGGUUGAAUAAACUAUGCUACAUCCACAUAAUGGAGUAUUUAUUACGUAGCUGCUAAAAGAGAUAAAAGACUUUUAUACUGUUAUGGGGAAAUCUCUGGGAUAUAUUGUUAAGUGCAAAAUGCGAGGUGAAGAUCAGAAUGUGUGAAUGACAGCCUUUAUCUAAGAAAUGGGAGUAUUUAUUUGAUAUUUAAUACAUUAAAAAUAGGACAAAAAUGAAAGUUACUAAAAAUGGUUAAUUAUAAAAUAAGUAGGAAACAGAGUGGAAGCAAUAGGUUUGGAAGCUAGAUUAUUAAAGAUGCAACUUGUUUUAUGCAUAUAGAAGCACACGCAAAAAUUCUUUACCAAAUCAUAAAACAGCAGGUAAAGACAGCAAUUCCUUCAUUCAAAAACAGAAUCAAAUUAAAUAAAUCAACCUGAGUAUUAAUGCCACAAGAAGAAAUUGUUUCAAAUGAUCUUUACUUGGCUUCGUUUAUCUGGCUGUAUAACUGCAGUGGGAUAUAUCCUAAGGACAAAUAGAACCGUGAAGGAAUCUUAAGUUGCUUUGAGUAAUCAUAUUGUUCAUAAUAUGUUGCUAGGGUUAUUCUGAAACUGUUUAUUGUAAAUUAAGAUAAAGCACAUAAUAUUAUAUUAAUGUCGUUAAGAACCAAAUUAGUUGACCAGAGAAAAAAAGAGAAUCAAACAGAAAAAAAAAAAAAAAAGAAAUUAAAUAAAAACCUGUAAUCCCUAAGCUUGAAUUGGAGACAUUAGUACAAACUCCUGAUGUAUUUUUCUUGCAAAUAUUUUCUGACUUUACACUGGGAAGGCUUAGAACCAAUAACCCUUACAGAAGCAAAGAGUUCCUUAGCACCCAUACCCCAGUCUCCAACUACAUUUCUCACUGAAACCAGGGGGCCUCAGAAAAGUUGCUUGAUUUCAGAUUGGGGCAGGAAAUGUUCGAGAAGAGUUUCUAAUGUAUUGUCACACUAGAAGCAAGGAAGUUACCGAAGGCCGUUGGGCUGUGGCAAAACACAGCAGCCAAAAUGCAAAGGUUCCUGCCAGCCAAAGAUGGAAAAGCCAUAUCCAAGGAUGGAGAGAAAAAGAAUAAUGUCUGCAAUGUAUUGAAACACAUAGGAUCUGCUAAAAAUCCAUGCAUUCAUAAUAAUAUUUACAAAGUUGAUGUGCUCCCUUUGUAAGAUGCUAGGGACCCAACCCCUUAUUCUGGAAAUGAGCACGUAAGGGAAUAUAAUCAAGCAUUUAACUUCCCCUUCUGGAUAGAGUUGUACCUUGGGAUAACUAGAUAGUUGAGGAAGUAAAUUUCUUCUUUCUUAGUAGAAUUCCAGUUCAUAAAUAAAGAAUUAGGAGUUAGCCUAUCACCACUUUGCUGCCCUCGAUGAAAUAAUGGAUCUAUGCACCUGCGUGUGGGAUUGUGUUAAUGGUAGUGUAACCUUUCUCACGGAUAUUAGUUUUGUGAUUGCUAUCACUGAUUGUGAAAUGAACCGUUGUUGUCUUCUAUUAUGGAAAUUACAGGGAGCAAGAGGAGGCGGUAGGUUUGGGGCUGGAAUGCUCACCCAUUGCAUCAACUCCUGCAACUCUGACAAGUCAGCCAAGUCAGAGGUGCGGACGUCCUAAGACGCGCCUCUGGUUUCUGGGAAUGCAGCAAUCACAGAGGUUGUCUGACUUUGCUUCCUCUGCUACGUUGCUAAUUCCCCGACACUUUUGCAGGUGGUUCAGAGCUGCAUCUAGGCCACGGAGAAGGAAGCAUUCCAGGGCUUACUGUGGUUUACAUAAGACCACUCUUAUUGAAUCUUAAAAUAAAUUAAACCUGACCAUAUUUUAUGACCUCGUGUUGCUCACUUGGUGUCAAGAAAUAGACAGGGUCUUCUUAGUAUUGUGAACAAACUCUGUCUUUUUUUCCGAAAUACUCAAUUCCUUUGAUGGCACUAUUGACCAAACU